rnacentral:rRNA from 1 species
UGGGGAAUAUUGGACAAUGGGGGCAACCCUGAUCCAGCAAUGCCGCGUGUGUGAAGAAGGUCUUCGGAUUGUAAAGCACUUUCGACGGGGACGAUGAUGACGGUACCCGUAGAAGAAGCCCCGGCUAACUUCGUGCCAGCAGCCGCGGUAAUACGAAGGGGGCUAGCGUUGCUCGGAAUGACUGGGCGUAAAGGGCGUGUAGGCGGUUUACACAGUCAGAUGUGAAAUCCCCGGGCUUAACCUGGGAGCUGCAUUUGAUACGUGUAGACUAGAGUGUGAGAGAGGGUUGUGGAAUUCCCAGUGUAGAGGUGAAAUUCGUAGAUAUUGGGAAGAACACCGGUGGCGAAGGCGGCAACCUGGCUCAUGACUGACGCUGAGGCGCGAAAGCGUGGGGAGCAAACAGGAUUAGAUACCCUGGUAGU